ACAUGAUUACAAAAUACAGCAUAAAAGAAAUUAGUACAUGGCAAGGGAGCCCAGAAGAAACGAUGAGACUUAUAGGACCUGGACCCCACCUUGUACUUUUAAGAAA